GAUGAACGCUAGCGGCAGGCUUAAUACAUGCAAGUCGAGGGGCAGCAGUUUUGUAGCAAUACAGAAGCUGGCGACCGGCAAACGGGUGCGGAACACGUACGCAACCUUCCUUUAACUGGGAGAUAGCCCACCGAAAGGUGGAUUAAUAUCCCACAGUAUAUUUGAGUGGCAUCACUUAGAUAUUAAAGCUCCGGCGGUUAAAGAUGGGCGUGCGUCUGAUUAGGUAGUUGGCGGGGUAACGGCCCACCAAGCCCACGAUCAGUAGCUGAUGUGAGAGCAUGAUCAGCCACACGGGCACUGAGACACGGGCCCGACUCCUACGGGAGGCAGCAGUAAGGAAUAUUGGUCAAUGGACGCAAGUCUGAACCAGCCAUGCCGCGUGGAGGAUGAAGGUCCUCUGGAUUGUAAACUUCUUUUCUUUGGGACGAAACCCCUGUUUCUACGGGGACUGACGGUACCAGAGGAAUAAGCACCGGCUAACUCCGUGCCAGCCGCCGCCGUAAUAC
rnacentral:rRNA from 1 species